ensembl:misc_RNA
CUGACAGCACUAGAAAUGUUCUUAUCUACAGAGCAACAGCAGUGCAAGCUUCCCUUAAUCAUUCUGCCAAUAUGCUCAAGCCCCCUGUUGUGGAGGAAUCACCUCUAAGGGUUAGAAGAUAGUUCAGUCUCCAUGCCCCUUCAAUCCUUUGCCUCU